AUUGAACGCUGGCGGCAGGCUUAACACAUGCAAGUCGAGCGGAGAUGAGGUGCUUGCACCUUAUCUUAGCGGCGGACGGGUGAGUAAUGCUUAGGAAUCUGCCUAUUAGUGGGGGACAACAUUCCGAAAGGAAUGCUAAUACCGCAUACGCCCUACGGGGGAAAGCAGGGGAUCUUCGGACCUUGCGCUAAUAGAUGAGCCUAAGUCGGAUUAGCUAGUUGGUGGGGUAAAGGCCUACCAAGGCGACGAUCUGUAGCGGGUCUGAGAGGAUGAUCCGCCACACUGGGACUGAGACACGGCCCAGACUCCUACGGGAGGCAGAAGUGGGGAAUAUUGGACAAUGGGCGGAAGCCUGAUCCAGCCAUGCCGCGUGUGUGAAGAAGGCCUUUUGGUUGUAAAGCACUUUAAGCGAGGAGGAGGCUACCUGGAUUAAUACUCUAGGAUAGCGGACGUUACUCGCAGAAUAAGCACCGGCUAACUCUGUGCCAGCCGCCGCCGUAAAAC
rnacentral:rRNA from 1 species